UACGUAGGGUGCAAGCGUUAAUCGGAAUUACUGGGCGUAAAGCGUGCGCAGGCGGUUCGGCAAGAAAGGUGUGAAAUCCCAGGGCUUAACCUCGGAAUGGCACUUUUAACUGCCGAGCUAGAGUAUGUCAGAGGGGGGUAGAAUUCCACGUGUAGCAGUGAAAUGCGUAGAGAUGUGGAGGAAUACCGAUGGCGAAGGCAGCCCCCUGGGAUAAUACUGACGCUCAGGCACGAAAGCGUGGGGAGCAAACAGG
rnacentral:rRNA from 1 species